GAGGGCAUCUCUGAAAUGGUGGACCAAAUACGGAAGUGGAGGGAUACGUGUGAGGUUGCUUCUCGAGCAAUAGAAAAGAUUGCCGCAUCUUUUGACAAAGUGGAGGAUAGAAGUCAGCGUUUGUUUGCAGCUAUUGAAGACUUGGGACUUUUAACCCCAAUGCAGAUGAUAGAUGUUUUUGAGGCAAUGUGCAAGGAUCAGUACAAAAUUGAUGUUUUCAUGGGGUUGCCAGAGUCACUUAGGAGGCCAUAUGUCUUGCGCAUACUGGAAGAAUGUAAUGUCUACCGCCCACCCUUUGACCCCUAAAACAAUAAAGUUGAUGGGGUUGUAAAUAUUUUUGUCUCGUAAUUAAGUGUAUGUUAUGUUGUCUAAGGACAUAUAAAUCCUUAGAUCUUUUUGAUGUGUUUGUUACCGAAAUGGUGCUGGGUGCCUGGGUUAGGUUCCCACAUGGGCAGUAGAUGUAUAUUUUGUCGAUCACUUGCCAUUAGAGGGAAACCAACAUUGGGGAGGGCUUUUGUAUUCGAACACAGAGGGAAGAAGUCCAAAGUCAAUGGCCGAAGCAUUUUCAGUUUCUAUUGAGGCCAGCCGAAAUUUGAAGGCAUGUUUCGUCAAGGAAAGGAUGAAGGCAUGAUUGAUCACAUUACCAUAGUAAAGCAGCUGCUGGAGGAAGAUUGUGCUUCUGCUUUGACAUAUCUGGGCUCCUGAACCUUGUGUGUUAUAAGAUGAAAACAGUAACUCAGGGAAAGUAUUAGUUGACUAGUAACUACAUGUAAAUUAUGCUAUAACUGAUGUAUGAUAUGUUCCUGUUACUGCCGAUGGUAAUAUGAUUAUGUUGGCCUUGUUAUUGAAUCCAUGACUGAGCUGUAACUUUAAGGUUCUAAAUACUAUCUCUAUAAACUGAUUUUCUGCAA